CCCUGCUUCUUGGUUCACCAGUGGUGGCACAAGCCAGAGCUCCUGGCUGGGUCUCUGCAGGGCACACUGGUUUGAGGAGGAACAGAAGAGAGCUCUGGGACAUCUGGUACUUUAGACUGAGGAAGAGCACUCAUUUGGAUGGAGGGUUUGGUGCUGUAAAGCAGGUGAACUGGCUAAGCUUCUUCUGGAAGGUGCUGGGCUGCCAGGAGCUCCCCAGAGCAGGGGCAAGAAAGAUGUCCCUCAGCGGGUACUGGGGUAUCAUCAUGCAAACAGCUGGCUAGGUGAGUUAGAGAAGGUAUCUCAUCUCUUACCUAUUUCUCACUGGAAGCAGAAAGUGCAGAAGCCAAGUCUGUAAUUUCCCAGAUGGAUAUGUCUUCUAUAGGACCUCUUUCUUCCAUGAAAAGGAGGAGAUGCCUCCAGAUAUCCUCUGACACAUACAACUACUUUGUACCAGACAAAGUAAUUGGCUGGAGUCAACCUGGGCCCUCAGUAAAACAAGUGUGGGUUCGGGAAGUCAAAAGAGUUUGAGAGCUCCUGCCUCUGUCCUAUGGCAUUCCUGUGGUGGAAAAUCCCACAGUGAGGGGAGCUGUGGGCAGGAAAGUGGAGCACAGCCAUCCUGCUGCUUUCUGAAGGCAUCUAUCAGGUUGUGCAGGCAUAGCCAGGUCUCUAGCAUCCCUGUCUCUGCUCUUAGGUGUCAAUUUCUAUCAGACACUGGAAAUCCUGAGUAUAUUUCCAAGAAGAUGGGCAGAGUCAUUUGAUUGACCAUUGCGCUGGUCACACAGAAGAGAAGAAUGACCAUUCUUGCUCACAGGCUUAAAACCCACCUGCAUUCAUAUCUCCUCUUCGCGCUGCAAACAGCAAAGCAGAGAUGGUAACAGCCACUAAAGGAGGAAGGGCCAUGUACAGAGAUGUUCACUUACCUCCAAAGCUCUUGGAUGAAAAGGUUUGGCUCUGUAAAACAAUAUUGCCAAGCUGCUACAUGAGGAAUGAGCCACACAUAGAAGAUCAGAAAUGUUUGAGAUGGAAGAAACUGAUCUGGUCCACUGCCUCGACCUUCUUUGCAAUGUGAGAUUCAUACUUAUGGGAGUGUGCAUGCCAUUACAGCCAAGGAAAUCGUGCUCUCCUGGGACUCGGAUUGAGCAGUGUCUAAUAAAAGGCCUGAUGAAGAGAAACUUCUGCAAGAUUUAUUUUCCCCUGGGAAAUUAACCAUUGUAUACCACAGCACACAUGGCAUAUGGCUGCCUGUCCAUGGGAGCACUGCAUCCAACUUCUGAUUCAGCAAAAUACUGGAAGUGGUGUUGUGAUAAAUAGGGCUUAAACAGAGGUAUGAAGUUUGACAUGGCCUUAACAGGCCAUUUCGGCAUUGAUAAAUGUAAAACACAAAGAUUUAUAUUGUGACUCAGAGCUGGAUUUUUCUCAUACAAGCAAUGGAUUAAAAGUUAUCAGUUAC
rnacentral:lncRNA from 7 species